UCUCUGAUUCAGCGGCGGACGGGUGAGUAAUGCCUAGGAAUCUGCCUGGUAGUGGGGGACAACGUCUCGAAAGGGACGCUAAUACCGCAUACGUCCUACGGGAGAAAGCAGGGGACCUUCGGGCCUUGCGCUAUCAGAUGAGCCUAGGUCGGAUUAGCUAGUUGGUGAGGUAAUGGCUCACCAAGGCGACGAUCCGUAACUGGUCUGAGAGGAUGAUCAGUCACACUGGAACUGAGACACGGUCCAGACUCCUACGGGAGGCAGCAGUGGGGAAUAUUGGACAAUGGGCGAAAGCCUGAUCCAGCCAUGCCGCGUGUGUGAAGAAGGUCUUCGGAUUGUAAAGCACUUUAAGUUGGGAGGAAGGGUUGUAAAUUAAUACUUUGCUGUUUUGACGUUACCGACAGAAUAAGCACCGGCUAACUCUGUGCCAGCAGCCGCGGUAAUACAGAGGGUGCAAGCGUUAAUCGGAAUUACUGGGCGUAAAGCGCGCGUAGGUGGUUU
rnacentral:rRNA from 1 species